UGCGUAGGCGGACUAAUAAGUCAGUUGUGAAAUCUUUCGGCUCAACCGGGAAACUGCCAUUGAUACUGUUAGUCUUGAGUUCGGUUGAGGUAGGCGGAAUGUGUAAUGUAGCGGUGAAAUGCUUAGAUAUUACACAGAACACCAAUUGCGUAGGCAGCUUACUAGACCGACACUGACGCUGAGGCACGAAAGCGUGGGGAGCGAACAGGAUUAGAUACCCUGGUAGUCC
rnacentral:rRNA from 1 species